GUCGUGGCUCAGUGAACACUCCUCCGGAGCUGUGCUGGAAAACAGUCUUGGGAGACCGAGAGCAACGUGGAGCUGUGAGGAGAGCAUCCAACACCAUGGCAAUCAAAAUGACACCCCUCCUCCGUGAACAGCCACAUAUCUCCAAAAGCACAAAACACCAUUAAUUCAAAUAAAACACAGAGACUUAAGGAGACAAAAGAGCAAAAGGUGAAACCUGAACUCACAAUUACCUGAGAACUGCAGUCACCUGUUGUAACAGCCAAUGCCAUAACAGCUUCCAUAUGGACACUGGACACCUCUCUGAUGCGCUAUGAAAACCAGAAGCUAUGUAAUGAGAGAGAUAACUCAAACUUCCUGACCUACAGUUUGAAAAAUACCACCCACGAACAGGAAUUCUCACUGUGCAGCACACAAAACUGAGAGAUGUUGCAGUUCCUCUGAGAGGCUUUCUUUGCACUGCUAGGUCUCUGCACUGUUUGAUCUCGGUUAUCAGCCACGUUGGUAGAGUUAUAUCACCUUGGAGAGGAUUCACAUUUAGCAUGGCUCUGGGACCCUUGCCAGGACAUGGCACAGGAAUUAUUCUUCAGAUCAGCAUAGAAUU